rnacentral:tRNA from 1 species
GAAGAUUCUUAAAUAGAAGUGAAAAGCCUAACGAACUUAGCGAUAGCUGGUUGCUCAAGAAAAGAAUCUUAGUUCAACCUAA